CUUUUGCUGGCGACCGGCGCACGGGUGAGUAACACGUAUCCAACCUGCCCUUUACUCGGGGAUAGCCUUUCGAAAGAAAGAUUAAUACCCGAUAGCAUAAUGAUUCCGCAUGGUUUCAUUAUUAAAGGAUUCCGGUAAAGGAUGGGGAUGCGUUCCAUUAGGUUGUUGGUGAGGUAACGGCUCACCAAGCCUUCGAUGGAUAGGGGCUCUGAGAGGAAGGUCCCCCACAUUGGAACUGAGACACGGUCCAA
rnacentral:rRNA from 1 species